rnacentral:rRNA from 1 species
AUGGGCGCCACCGUCUUCCCCCACUCCCUGGCCUCGCGCGGACCCGCUGCAGCCCUCCCCCGAGCCUGCGCGUCCUCCACCAUCCGCAUUAACCCCGCCUGCGUCGCCAACCCCACCGCCACCGCCGCCAAGAAACCGAAGCGGCCAGGGUCGUUCGACUGCGGGGAUCCGCCGGCGAAGCGCGUGCCCGGUGUUUCCGGCAAGGUCGAGCCCGAUGCCAGGACCAAGAAGAGCCCGCGUCCCUGCCCCGUCAGCGACGAGGAUCCGCGGAGCUCGCUGCCCCGCGGCGUCCAGGCCUCCCGCGUGGCCAAGAACCAGAGCAGCGCCUCGCCGACUCGUCCUCCCGAGCUCACGGCGCCACCCAAGCCUCCAGCCUGCAGCAUGCGCGAGCUCCUCCAGAAGGCCCGGCUUGCCAAGAACCCCGGCAGCGCCUCUCCGCCGAAGCCGGUUGCCUGCGGCGUGGGCGAGCUCCUCGAGAAGACCCGUCCCGCCAAGGUUAGUCCUGCUGCUGCCGAUGCUGAUGCUCAGCCUGAGGCCAUCCACCGGCGCGAGAUCGAGCGGCGGAGGGCCGAGGCCCGCCGUGAGCUGGGGCAGAUGGUUCGGACGGUGGAGUUCAACGACGCAUUCAUCGAUCCCCAGGACGUGCUCAGGUGA